rnacentral:rRNA from 1 species
GACGAACGCUGGCGGCGUGCUUAACACAUGCAAGUCGAACGGAAAGGCCCUGCUUUUGUGGGGUGCUCGAGUGGCGAACGGGUGAGUAACACGUGAGUAACCUGCCCUUGACUUUGGGAUAACCUCAGGAAACUGGGGCUAAUACCGGAUAGGAGCUCCUGCUGCAUGGUGGGGGUUGGAAAGUUUCGGCGGUUGGGGAUGGACUCGCGGCUUAUCAGCUUGUUGGUGGGGUAGUGGCUUACCAAGGCUUUGACGGGUAGCCGGCCUGAGAGGGUGACCGGCCACAUUGGGACUGAGAUACGGCCCAGACUCCUACGGGAGGCAGCAGUGGGGAAUAUUGCACAAUGGGCGGAAGCCUGAUGCAGCAACGCCGCGUGCGGGAUGACGGCCUUCGGGUUGUAAACCGCUUUCGCCUGUGACGAAGCGUGAGUGACGGUAAUGGGUAAAGAAGCACCGGCUAACUACGUGCCAGCAGCCGCGGUGAUACGUAGGGUGCGAGCGUUGUCCGGAUUUAUUGGGCGUAAAGGGCUCGUAGGUGGUUGAUCGCGUCGGAAGUGUAAUCUUGGGGCUUAACCCUGAGCGUGCUUUCGAUACGGGUUGACUUGAGGAAGGUAGGGGAGAAUGGAAUUCCUGGUGGAGCGGUGGAAUGCGCAGAUAUCAGGAGGAACACCAGUGGCGAAGGCGGUUCUCUGGGCCUUUCCUGACGCUGAGGAGCGAAAGCGUGGGGAGCGAACAGGCUUAGAUACCCUGGUAGUCCACGCUGUAAACGGUGGGUACUAGGUGUGGGGUCCAUUCCACGGGUUCCGUGCCGUAGCUAACGCUUUAAGUACCCCGCCUGGGGAGUACGGCCGCAAGGCUAAAACUCAAAGGAAUUGACGGGGCCCCGCACAAGCGGCGGAGCAUGCGGAUUAAUUCGAUGCAACGCGUAGAACCUUACCUGGGUCUGACAUGGAUCGGGAGUGCUCAGAGAUGGGUGUGCCUCUUUUGGGGUCGGUUCACAGGUGGUGCAUGGCUGUCGUCAGCUCGUGUCGUGAGAUGUUGGGUUAAGUCCCGCAACGAGCGCAACCCUUGUUCACUGUUGCCAGCACGUUAUGGUGGGGACUCAGUGGAGACCGCCGGGGCCAACUCGGAGGAAGGUGGGGAUGACGUCAAGUCAUCAUGCCCCUUAUGUCCAGGGCUUCACGCAUGCUACAAUGGCUGGUACAGAGAGUGGCGAGCCUGUGAGGGUGAGCGAAUCUCGGAAAGCCGGUCUCAGUUCGGAUUGGGGUCUGCAACUCGACCUCAUGAAGUCGGAGUCGCUAGUAAUCGCAGAUCAGCAACGCUGCGGUGAAUACGUUCCCGGG